GUGGAUAUCCGUGUGUAUAGCCCAGUGGAUAUAGCUAUAUAUCAGUAUGUGUAUAGUCCAGUUGAUCUCUCUCUCUCUCUCAGUAUGUAUAUCUAGCCCAAUAUGUGUAUCUAAUCCAGUAAAUGUAUAUCUAGAUCAGUUUGUGCAUAGCUAGUCUAGUGUGUAUAUAGCUAGCCCAGUAUGGGUAUACCUAUCCCAGUGUACCUCUAAGGUCAGUCCUCGCCUUCUGCAUUCACAUGUCUGGCUUCUCUUCUCAACCCGGUCUGCCUGCUCUCUUAUACAGUGUCAGUCCACUUUACUCUCUCCCUCCCUUUCUCCCUCUCUCCAUCCAUGUGUCUCGGUGUCUU